UACAUAGGGAGCAAGCGUUAUCCGGAAUGAUUGGGCGUAAAGCGUCUGUAGGUGGUUCAAAAAGUCUACUGUCAAAUACGUUGGCUCAACCAACGGCAGGCAUUAGAGUACUAUUGAACUAGAGUAUGGUAGAGGUAGAGGGAAUCCCUAGCGUAACAGUGAAAUGUGUAGAUUUUAGGGAGAACACCAGCGGCGAAGGCGCUCUACUGGGCCGAGACUGACACUGAGAGACGAAAGCUAAGGGAGCGAAUAGG
rnacentral:rRNA from 1 species